AAAAGAUCAAGGGAAGAGAAGACACAGCAGAUAAGCUCCAAAUAGCACAGCUGGCCAGGUUCCAAGGUCAGUCAAAAAGGAGUGAUGCACCAAGCACAAAGUCACACCCAUGACCGUGGCAGGGGAUGAGGCUACAGGCGAGAUGGACAGGGCAGAGGCAGAGUAGAGGCACAGGCAAAACCCAGAAGACAAAGAAGAAGGUGGACACUAACAGUGUGCAUGGUCAGGGAAAGGUCGGGACCCAGAAAACCAGAGAAAUAAUUUCUCAAGCCAGAAGAAGCAGGGCAAGGAGCUUCAGUUCAUCAUGGACAGAUUGCCUUGAGAUUCCAAAGGUCCUUCAGAUUCCUGCUAGUGAUCCUGUCAUCCCUUGACUGCAGAAAUCAGAAGACAAUCAUGAGCUAAGCUUUGAAGAAACCAAGAAGUCUUCCACUGACUUAGAGCAUGAAACCCUGGGUUGCCAAGCCUUUGCGGUCCUUCGCAGUC